UCAUUGAAGGUAGGCCUUAACUCCCCCAAU
rnacentral:piRNA from 1 species